rnacentral:rRNA from 1 species
CGAGGGGUAACAGGGUUUUCGGACUGCUGACGACCGGCGCACGGGUGAGUAACGCGUAUACAAUCUGCCUAUUACUAAGAGAUAGCCCAGAGAAAUUUGGAUUAAUAUUUUAUGGCAUUACGACUUGGCAUCGAGUUGUAAUUAAAGGUUACGGUAAUAGAUGAGUAUGCGUCCUAUUAGCUUGAUGGUAAGGUAACGGCUUACCAUGGCUACGAUAGGUAGGGGUCCUGAGAGGGAGAUCCCCCACACUGGUACUGAGACACGGACCAGACUCCUACGGGAGGCAGCAGUGAGGAAUAUUGGACAAUGGGAGCAAUCCUGAUCCAGCCAUGCCGCGUGCAGGAAGACUGCCCUAUGGGUUGUAAACUGCUUUUAUACAGGAAGAAAAAGCCCGACGUGUCGGGUGUUGACGGUACUGUAAGAAUAAGGAUCGGCUAACUCCGUGCCAGCAGCCGCGGUAAUACGGAGGAUCCAAGCGUUAUCCGGAAUCAUUGGGUUUAAAGGGUCCGUAGGCGGGACAAUAAGUCAGUGGUGAAAGUCUGCAGCUCAACUGUAGAAUUGCCAUUGAUACUGUUGUUCUUGAGUGCUUGUGAAGUGGUUAGAAUGAGUAGUGUAGCGGUGAAAUGCAUAGAUAUUACUCAGAAUACCGAUUGCGAAGGCAGAUCACUAACAAUUCACUGACGCUGAUGGACGAAAGCGUAGGUAGCGAACAGGAUUA